GAAAAAAAAUCGCGGACAGUAACUGUGUAAAGCUGAAGAGGUGGUUAGGUUAGUCGCAUUUUGUAUCUUCCAGAGCCACAGCAACGUUGAUUUUGAUGCUGGAUUUUCUCUUCCAAACGCUUUUCCCUUUAGUAUGAAAAUCCCAGUCUCGAGGAGCUGGAUCUCUAGGCUACUCUUUGCUGGCUUUUCAUCCUUUGCCCCCAAAUAGGCAGCAGAUGUUGCUUGUUAGAUUGCUAACUACCGGCGCUGCUUGCGUGCCUGCAGGCAGAGCUACUGUAUGCUUGCAGAGAGUUUCCUUCUGCACUGGAGGCACUGUCUGGUUCAGGGCAUUGCUAGCCUCGUGUUAUACUAAUGUACAAUAUCAUGGUUGCUCUGACAUGCCUCAAUGGCAGCAAAAUCACCUGGGUGUUAGGGCUAGGCAGUGACCUGCAGGCUGAGAGUGUGUUUGGUCUUGAGGGGACUGCAAAGCCAUAGUGGUAGUGGCUAUACCCAGAAAAAGGUGUGGCCAGAGAGGGGAAAAACUCAGAAGGGAAAUAAUGCUCAGUUUAAGGUAGAGCCCCUCUGGUCCUGCAGUAUCAAACACCAUCUGUUGCUAUGAGCUCCAUCUCGAUCAGGACAUAGUUGUGUUCUUGCCAGAUGUUAGCUUACAUGUGCUACAUGUAAAAGUAAACUGGUGUGAAAGCUGUGGUCAGAUGUGCUUUCAGUAGGAUUUGCCCUGCAUAAGUGACGACGUGCUAGCCAGCCUCUUGCUGAGAGGAUGCACUCCAGAAGUUGCAGGUGUGUGGUUGGAGUGUGUUCAAUGAGUCAAGAUAGGAAAUAUCUUCCAAAGCUCCAAAUAAGACAAAACAAACUCAGCUUUAGCACAUGCUCAAUUGAUUGAGUCUUUGGCAAAGUAUGACAUGAAUUUGCAGUGUUCUCACUGAGGCCUGUCCUGGCUGUGUCCUACCUGCUGAGUCCUUCAGCAAGCACAGCAUAGCUGUCCUUCUUAUGCUGAAUCCUGCUUCUUUUACUGUUCUUCCCAAACUCUUCAGUUAGGAAUGACAACCUGAUUCCCACUCAUGAGCACUGUUCAGGUUCUGCUGUACACUGUAUCUGCCACCACUGAGAUCCCUCUUGUGUCACAGCCCGCAAUAUCCACAAACCUGCCCAUGGUGACUUCUCUAGUCACGGCUGUCCUCUUCCAGCUCUGGCUGUUCAGGUCCAGACAGGACCUGGAGGAAGGGGGAAGCUGGACAUGGGGAGUUUCCUAAAGUCGUUUUGCAUCACCUUAAGGUCUGAAAUAGGAGUCUGGCAGGCUGUGGGUUGCAAUUCACUUCCUUCCUGGUUGAUGGGAGCCCAGGGGCUCUGCUGUCCGCUGGUCCUUUAGAAAAGGGCCAGGAGCCACCAGGGACUCCUAGUGGGGAUAGAAAUGUUAGCAAUCCAAAUCGUGAUGGGAAACAGAAGGAGUAAAAAAAAAAAAAAAAAAGCAAACCAGAUUUUUUUUCUCCCCCGAAAGCAGGAGGAAAUCUAGCAAGGACAAGGCUGGCUUCUCCUGGAACAUGUGUGCAGUCUGCUUGUCACUAAUGCUCUGUAGCCAGCUUAGAGAAGAUGCUUUGCCUAAGUAAGUGAAAUAAGCACUGUGAUGUGGGAUAUAUGAUAACUUCAGAAGCAGAAGGAAUAAGACCCCAGGCAAGAGAGCUUCAAACAAUGUCUUUUUUUUCCUCUCCUUUUUCCAUCUCUAAGUCUGUAGUGUUCAAUUAACCCUUUUUCUCUAUCCUGGCCAUGAUGGCUGCAGCUUUGCAAGGCUUCACCCAGCCUCCUGGAUGAUGAUGUGUUAAGCACUUGGUUUGUGAUAACCAGUUUUCUCCUGAAAUGAUACCAAAAGUCUGCUGUUUUGAUUUAAACUGUUUUCCAAGCAUUUUGGUUAGUAACAAAAGACAGUCCAUUCCAAGAGAAUCUAGCUUGAGGAAGCCAUGAAAUUUAAUUCAUCUUUGCAACUUAAAUAUUUAAUCAGUGACAUAUGGUAAUAGUAAAUACAAGGGGAAAUGUCAUUGUUUCAGUCAAAUUUCUGCAUUCAGUCAAAACCUAAUAGUUGUAACAUCAAACUGUAUUUUCCAUUGAACAGGAAAUAAAGCAUCAUUUUUUCAAAGAAAAUAGACAUGCAAUUGCAUGCCUAUUAUAUUGCUUAUAUAGCUUUAUUUUUAGCUUUCUCAACUGUUGCUGUUCUAAAGGACCAACAGAAGGGGAACUGUGGAGGGAGAGAAUACAAGGCAAUACCCAGUUGUCCGUGGUAGAAAGGACAAAGAUGUCUGUGCUGUGAAUAAAUGCACCUUCCCUACAGGGCAAUAAGGUUCUGUGCCUGGGUUAGGGACUCUGCACCUCACCCUCACUUCUGCUGACAUGCCAGCCCUUAAGCAAUGCUGAGGUGAGGAUGAGUUCUUGGAAAGGCUCUGGAAUUUAUGCAGAAAGAACAUUGCUUUUUCUGAGCAAUGGAAGCAGAGUAUUUCUUUUAAAGUCCAUCUGGCAUCAGCCUGAGACUCCUCCCUCCAUGAGUACAGGUCACUGAUGUACUGCUGGCCUUUCCCCCUCAUUCAGUGGUGCUCUCUCCUGAGAUUCUGAAUUUUGUGGUUCCUUAUGGGCAUUUAACUUUAUUUCUACUUCAUCCAUUUGUCUGUUUUUCAGGCAUGACCCAUAGUUUUCUCCUCUUACUGUCUACCCUUGAGUUUCAUGUGCUGCUUCUGAUUUCUCUAAUGCACACCAACAGUUUACAGCUUUGACAUGGCUGAUUUGUCUGUCUUUGUCUGUAGCAGGGCCAUGCUCAGGUGUCUGGAUACAGCUGGUGACAGAGAGCUUAUUUGCCCUAUGCAAAUAAAUACACAGCAGACAGGGGUUUACAAUUUUAUCAUUACCUGAAAUAUUCCAAUUCUUUUCUGUCUCUCUCACCCCAGCAGCUUCUCUGAUUUGAGAGCAUUUUGGCUGCUGUUCCUUCCCCUGAGCUCCAUCUCCUCGUUGAUUUCUGCACACAGUUCCUUCCUCUUUUUCAUAAUUGACUCGUUUGCUCCUCCAGCCUUGCACUUCAUCCAUCUUCUGACUUCCCCUCUCUGAUCUAAUUCUCAUGUCCGCUUCCUCCAUUUUUUUCUGCUGGAAUGUAAAGCAUCCCUCCAGAAAAAUAGAAGGUCUCUGUCAACUUUUACCAUCCCCCUCAUAUUCCCUCUCCCUUCACCUCUAUCAUCUCCCCCAGAUGGUGGGACAAAUACUCGCUUGCAUUCAUUCUCAGGCUUGUAAAAUUGGCAUAUUCACUUCUCUUUCUUUUUCACGUGAUAAUGUGAAACAGGAAUAAUUCUACACAUUUCUCUGCUGCCCAGGGCUGGGCUCAAUCUGAAGGAAAAGUUUUCCAAGGCUAUUGUGGUCUUCAGGGCACUGCUGAGCUCCAGUCUCUCUGUGGUGUUCUCACUCUAUCUCUUUGACUGUGACAAAUUGCUGCUGUAUUUGCUGCUUCUCAAGAUAUGAAAGACAAAAGUGAAAUCAGACCUGGCCAUUGAUGAGUACAGAGAAGUUAAUGGAGCCAAAGAGCAUUCUCUGUCCAAGGGCAUUGUUGUGCACUAAAAUGUUCUCAGUCAUUAUGUGGAUUUUUUUCUGCUUGCAGAAGAGGUACUUGGGCAAAGGGGAUUUCUGUGUGCUGAGAUGGCAGCUGGUUUGAACCCCAGAGCAAUUCCUACAGCUGUAUGGAAAUUGUGCAUCUCAGUCUUUCAAGGACUGUUGGGACUGCAACACUUUGGGAUUUCACAAGUUCUCUCUACGGACAAAUCUGCAGGACCAGACUAUCCUGAGCUGAGCACUCUGGAAUUUCGUUUGAAAAUAGAACCAUCCUUGGAGGGAGGCACGGUACAAAAUUUUGGCCUGCAAUCACAACAAAUACCCCUGAAGCCUUGUCCUCAUCCUCUGUAAGCAUAGAAAAAAUUAUUUAAAAAUAACGAGAUAAUUUUGAAA